GGAAUCCCAACAUGAUGUAUAACUCAUACGCAACUGUCUAGUUUUAAGGCUGAAAGAGCGUAAAACAACGAAUUACUAAGAGGGGAAGAUAACGAACAGUGAUCAAUCUCAGAUCUCCUAUAAGGAAUACAAAAUGAAGAGCUGGGCAAACACGAACCCUCGUACAUACAAGGGGUGGGGUCAUGUGCCUAGGAGAAUCAUUAAAUUAUUGACUUUGCAAAAUCGUAUGACGUCACAGGAGUGUGGAACUACGUUAAGCAGCUGCUGGGACAAGGGAAAUUUGCCAAUACAUUUAAAAAACCACAAGGCCUUUCCAUCUUUUGAACAUGGGACUUCCAGUAAUACUGAAUUUCCACGGGACACUUUCAAAAGCUCAAUGAAUCAUCCUGCAUAACACAUGAUGAGGCUGUGAAAUUAGAAAUAUCAACUGUUGACCAGUCUGGAAAUGUGGUUUGAUGAAAGGAAGAAACGUGUGAUAUCUUCCCAGUUUGCAAGAAUAUGUAAAAGAAAAAAUAUAUUACAAAUACUUUUG